GACGAACGCUGGCGGCGUGCCUAAUACAUGCAAGUAGAACGCUGAAGGAGUAGCUUGCUUCUCUGGAUGAGUUGCGAACGGGUGAGUAACGCGUAGGUAACCUGCCUUGUAGCGUGGGAUAACUAUUGGAAACGAUAGCUAAUACCGCAUAAUAGUAGAUGUUGCAUGACAUUUGCUUAAAAGGUGCAAUUGCAUCACUACCAGAUGGACCUGCGUUGUAUUUGCUAGUUGGUGGGGUAACGGCACACCAAGGCGACGAUACAUACCCGACCGGAGAGGGUGGUCGGCCGCACUGGGAGGGAGACACGGCACAGAGGGCUACAGGUGGCAGCAGGAGGGAAUCGGGGGCAAUGGGCGGAAGACUGAGCGAGCAAGGCCGCGGCAGUGAAGAAGAUUGUCGGAUCGUAAAGCUCGGUUUUAAGGGUAGAAAGAGUGUGAGAGUGGAAAGUUCACAGUGUGACGGUAACUUAUCAGAAAGGGACGGCUAACUACGUG
rnacentral:rRNA from 1 species